CAGUAGCCGCGGUAAAACAGAGGGUGCGAGCGUUAAUCGGAUUUACUGGGCGUAAAGCGUGCGUAGGCGGCUUCUUAAGUCGGAUGUGAAAUCCCUGAGCUUAACUUAGGAAUUGCAUUCGAUACUGGGAAGCUAGAGUAUGGGAGAGGAUGGUAGAAUUCCAGGUGUAGCGGUGAAAUGCGUAGAGAUCUGGAGGAAUACCGAUGGCGAAGGCAGCCAUCUGGCCUAAUACUGACGCUGAGGUACGAAAGCAUGGGGAGCAAACAGGAUUAGAUACCCGUGUAGUCCCUGUCUCUUAUAA
rnacentral:rRNA from 1 species